rnacentral:misc_RNA from 1 species
AAUUCUCAACCUUAAAAGCUUUUGUGCUUUCAAGGAUUGGAUGUGGAGGCUUGCUGGCUUUUAACAUGGUCAGCUCCUCUUAAAUGCAUUAGUGGAAACCAGUUGUAGUCCACGUUGGUGUGAUAAUUAUCUACGCCACUGCUGAGACUACAGCUCUAUCGAGUUGCUCGGAUGUACUUGUACACUUCGGUAUGGAAGGCUGCACUCUAACGAGUUGCUCUUUCUGACUUGAUAUGAGUUUAAAGGUAAUCUGCUUCAAACUGUCCUAAGUCACUGGACAAUUAUUUGAUUU